GACAGGCGCGAGCGUGGAUCUCAACAAACAUUGACUGUAAGAGAGCUGAAACGAUGCUGACAUGGCCUCCAGCUGCUGCGUAGUGCAUAGGUGUACAGCCGUUCUUGUCUUUAGCCCCUGCCUUGGCUUUGUGGGACAACAAUGAAGUCACAUUUUGAAGUUUUCCCUCAGUUGCUGCGAGAUGACCACUUCAGAGAGCAGCAGUCAGGCACCUAGACUUUCUUGUCCUCCAACUCAAAUCAUUCUCUGGACAACUGCAAAACAACAGUGC